rnacentral:tRNA from 1 species
GCCCGGCUGGCUCAGUCGGUAGAGCGAGGGACUCUUGAUCUCGGGGUUGUGAGUUAAGGCCCCACGUUGGGUG